rnacentral:rRNA from 1 species
AUUGAACGCUGGCGGCAGGCCUAACACAUGCAAGUCGAGCGGAGCGGCGGACGGGUGAGUAAUGCCUAGGAAUCUGCCUGGUAGUGGGGGAUACCGUCCGGAAACGGGCGCUAAUACCGCAUACUAUCAGAUGAGACUAGUUCGGAUUAGCUAGUUGGUGGGGUAAAGGCCUACCAAGGCGACGGUCCGUAACUGGUCUGAGAGGAUGAUCAGUCACAAUGGAACUGUGACAGGGCCCAAACUCCUACGGGAGGCAGCCGUGGGGAAUAUUGGAGAAUGGGCGAAAGCCUGAUCCAGCAAUGCCGCGUGUGUGACGAAGGUAUUCGGAUUGUAAAGCAAUUUAAGUUGGGAGGCGUUACCAACAGAAUAAGCACCGGCUAACUUCGUGCCAGCCGCCGCGGUAAUUC